CAAGGAAAUCCAUCAAAAAUACAGAUGUUUUAUCCCAGCUCAGUUGAACAACUUAAAUAUAUGAAGCAAUUGCAGGAUUCAUAAUCUUAACACAUACGUCCUCUAGCUGAAGUAACAGAACCAAGUACUUAUGUCUGACUCUGGAAUCUGCAAUUGAGACAGGCCAUCUUUAGAAACCUCAAUCCUUCAGCAGCUCUAGGAGAUGUAUGUGAGGUCUGCAAUGGUUAUCCUGCCUUUGAUUAAAAGAGACUAAGUUACUCAAGUCCUAAUUAUUUUUUAAGGGGUUUUUUUUGGGAAUCCUUUCAAAGAUCAUUAACAUCUUUUCUCAGUAUUGCUCAUGCCAAUUAGAGAGACUAUUUCAAUAGUUAAUCAAGCAGUGUAAAAUAGUAAUGAAUAAAAUUCACAUGUAAUUCCA
rnacentral:lncRNA from 1 species